ACUGUUGAAAUCUCCAACUAUAAUUUUCUUCUCUCCAAUAGAUAAUUCUUACAUUAGUUUAUCCAAUUGAUUCCAAAAUUGUCCUUUAAUAUAUUCCUCCAAUCAUAUUUGGUCGAUACUCUCAAAACUGUUGUGCUGGCUGAUACCACGAUCUAAGACCAUUCUUCUAACGAAAACUUUCAUUAGAUGAGCAUAUUGCAGUACAUGUAGUGCCUUCAAAUUAUUUGGUUUCCCACUCAUUUAAAUAUUGAAACAUAAUUUCUUCUUCUUUUAUUAUUAUAUUCGAUACUCGCUCUUGAAUACUUUUGACAGGGAACAUGUUCAAUCAUGAAACACUUUCAUGGCCAAGAUCAGUCCAACUGUUCGUCCAAGCAAGUAAAUGAUAGAUUUGUCGCAGAGGCUGCACCAUUGUCACCCUCUGGUAUAUGGCAUAUAUUAUGGACACUAAUGAAGAGGAGAGAGUUAAGGUACACCUUAUUCUGAAAGAACUAGGGAGGAAAUCACUAUCAGCAACACAGGUAAACAAUCUUCAAUUUUUUUUCCCCCAGUGAGAUGGAUCAUCUUUGGUUAGUAAUAUUUCUUUGCAAAAUAAUUUAAAUAAUUUACUACCUAACCUCAACAUGUUUAUAUUUCUACACAUUUGGAAGUAUUCAAGUUGUUUGGCGCAUCUGACAUGCAUAUUUCAGUUAGUUUGAAAUAUUCAUGUAAGCUUAUCAAUAACUUUAGCAAAUUCCCUGUUCUUAAAAAAUGUAAAUAAAAAAUGAGUUUCUUAAUUAGGUGAAUGAUCCUUGUAUAUUUAAAAAGUUGAUAAUGUGACAAUGUGAACUGGUGUUUCUUUAAAAUGUAGAAGUGU